GUUACUGUCAAGCACGAUUGAGAGGCGGUGUUUGCUCAGUGCAGGACUUUGUGGGCUUGCCAACCGACUUAAACUUAGACGGUGGCCUACGAGGACAAGAAGCUCAUGUGAUGCAUGCACUUUGGAGCCUGCGUGUGUGCAGCACCUGAGCUGUGAGAUAAGCCGAGUGGAUCAUGUUGAGCUUUUAUCCAGGUGAAGGUAUUACAACAAGACAUGUGAGUGAUGCUGAAAAACAAAGGAACACAGGGGUCCAGUAAUGAGAAGAUAUGUGUCUUUAAAAGUAGAAAAAGAUUGUGAAAUCUGAAUUUGCUGCCUGAGAAACAAUACGAAUUAAAAUGCAACACUCUCACAUGG